rnacentral:other from 1 species
UGUUCCCUGCGGUGUACGUCCAGAUUGCGAAUUCUUUGAACCAAUAAAUUUGCAACGGUCGUGGCUAUUGAUAAGUGCUGUUGUGCGCGUUACUUGCUAACGUACCUGAAGUGCUUACGCUGUGACCCCUUGAGCCCUAGGUUCAAGAUAGCGGUCAGACGGCAUUGGCGGGGAGCUC